AAUAAUCCAUCAUGGUUUAACCGAAUUGAGGCAAGCAAGGUUGUUGAAAUUAUAAGGAAGCUGAGAGAAAGUACAGAUAUAAAUGAGACUGAUAUUGGGGUAAUAACACCUUAUCGACAACAAGUCCUGAAGAUCAAAAAGGCACUUGAAACUUGGGAAAUGUUGGAUGUGAAGGUUGGGAGCGUCGAACAAUUUCAAGGACAAGAGAGAGAGGUCAUUAUUGUAUCUUGUGUGAGGUCAACCGUCAAGCACAAUAACUUUGACAGAACUUAUUGUCUGGGUUUCCUCAGCAACCCAAAGAGAUUUAAUGUUUCAAUUACCCGAGCUAGAUCUUUGCUUAUCAUUGUUGGCAAUCCACACAUUAUCAAUAAGGAUCCGUACUGGGAAGAGCUUUUGUGGUAUUGUGUGGAUAACAACUCCUACAAAGGCUGCCCUCUCCCUGAAAGGCCUAUUCCAGGGAGAGGCUUGAAUUGUGAAACAGGGGAUUCUUAUGUCUCAACAUCCCGAAGUAGGGACAUCGUUCCAGAAACUCUGCGGGCUGUCACCAAUGAAGCCGAAUGUUUAGAUGGUUGGAAGUAAUUUCCUCACUUUAUCAGGAUUUCUGCUUUUUUGGUUUGUAGGAAUUGGGACAAUAUUUUAGGUUGCUUUGUUUCUCUGUUAGAACUGCAUGAAAUCCCACAUCGGAUAAAUAAAUUUGAUUGGCAUAUGGUCGGAUCUAUAAGUAGAAGUUGGAACUCACAAUGAAACAUACUUACCUGGACGGGG
rnacentral:misc_RNA from 1 species